rnacentral:tRNA from 1 species
GGAAGCGUGUCAGAGCGGUUUAAUGAGACGGUCUUGAAAACCGUUGACUGUAACAGGUCCGUGAGUUCGAAUCUCACCGCUUCCGCCA